CUCUUUCUGGUCAAAAUGGCUGGUAAGCAGGCCGUUUCAGCAUCAGGCAAGUGGCUGGAUGGUAUUCGAAAAUGGUAUUACAAUGCUGCAGGAUUCAAUAAACUGGGGUUAAUGCGAGAUGAUACAAUAUACGAGGAUGAAGAUGUAAAAGAAGCCAUAAGAAGACUUCCUGAGAACCUUUAUAAUGACAGGAUGUUUCGCAUUAAGAGGGCACUGGACCUGAACUUGAAGCAUCAGAUCUUGCCUAAAGAGCAGUGGACCAAAUAUGAAGAGGUCUUUGCUGUUCCAGCUCUGCACUCUGCUUCCUACUUAGAUGAAAAGAUCAGCCCAUUGAGUGUCCCUCCAGAUCCCAAGAAGAGCUUCUGUGAAGCAAACUCUCACCCCUUGAACUGCAUUGAAACUAGGCAAAGGCCUGUGGACAUUCAUUUCUUUUUCUUCCCGAAAAGACUUCCCCCUCAUAACCUAUCAAAGCAACUUAUCACACCAUCACCACAGAUUUGACAUUUUAAAAAGCAGAUAGUUCUUAGGUUGAGAAUAUGUUUUCUAAAAUUGGAAAUUCAAAAGAAAAUUUCUACCUUGAACCGUAUCUGAAAGAGGUUAUUCGGGAAAGAAAAGAAAGAGAAGAAUGGGCAAAGAAGUAAUCAUGUAGUUGAAGUCUGUGGAUGCAGCUGUUAUGAAGAUGGUUAAACUUGAAACAAACAAUUUUAAGAAUUAUUUGGUCUGAAGAUGUUUUACUUUAAAUAAAUGUCUAUUGUAAUGGCUGGAGUUUUUGAAUUCCAAACCUUAUACUGAAUAACUACUGAAUCCCUUUACUGUUAAAUUUUUUUCCAAACUUUCAAGAUAUAUUUAGUUGUGUUUAACUGCUACUUGGAGCUCAGAAGCCACUUUAUCAGUUUUCCUCACUGGUUGGAUAGCCUAUCAGUUUAUGGAAGGAUAUAACUUCCGUAAGUUACAUCCUUAUGGAAGCUACUGAAUAAAAGAAGGGGGUAUGCACCCCCUAGUUUGCCAAGAUUGAGAAAUAGCCUCUUCACUGGUAUGCAAACAGAUUUGAUUUUGCAUCCUAUCAUUUAAAAAGAAAUUAUGUCUGCACCCCAACAUAGGCAUACUUAAGUAAUAUACAUACUCCUGUGCUAACAUGUAUACUAGAAAACAAAAAGAUGUUAGAAAAAUAAAAGUAUAAAGACAAAUCAUACUGUCCCCAUAUCCCAGUGACUUUUCCACUUUGGAAAUGAUUGUUAUGAAGUUUAAGGGUUGGAUACUAGUCAGUUAAAAGUUUUAAGAUUAUAGGGUAAUUUUUAAAAAUAUAAAUUAGAAUCAUUGGCAAGGCAUGGUGGCUCAUGCCUGUAAUCCCAGCACUUUGGGAGGCCGAGGCGGGCGGGUCACCUGAAGUCAGGAAUUUGAGACCAGCCUGGCCAACAUGGUGAAACCCUGUCUCUACUAAAAAUACAAAAAAUUAGCUAGGCGUGAUGGUAGGCACCUGUAAUCCCAGCUACUCGGGAGGCUGAGGGAGGAGAAUUGCUUGACCCCAGGAGGUGGAGGUUGCAGUGAGCCUAGAUCACACCACUGCACUUCAGCCUGAGCGACAUUGACUGUCUCAAAAAAAAAAUUAGGAUUAUUCAAUGUUGUCAUCAUUUCCACUCCUAAAUUCUGAAAUGCUUUCUUUGGUAGAGGUGAGAGUGUGGAGCCACAGCUAGUAGAGAAGGAACAGUAGGACCUGCAGCCUCCCUGGUUUUCCAGGACAAGUCAUUGCUGUGUGUGGCAGGAAUGCCUUACCUCAAAUAACAAAACAGUGUGAAAAACGAAUUUGUGUUACAUUUAAAGUUUGUAAAGCAAUGAGAAAUGUGUGUAUCAUAAAGAGCAUCUUUAAAUUUUUGCUAAAAUAUUAGCCUCUUAAAUUCUCUAGGAACCCCCUCCCCCGCUUUUUUUUUUCCUUUCGCUGGUCGUUAUUUUUCUAAACCUAUCCUGAAAUCAUGUCAAUUUUCUUUUGUAUGGUUGAAGACAACUAGAUCACUUGAUAAUGGUUUUGCUCAGGUCACAUUGUGACAAGGUUUUAAUGUAGUCCUACUUUGCAGAAGGAGGCCAAGAAGAUGGGCUGUCUAGAACCCCCUUUAAAAGCAUUUGUCUAUUCAGAAAAUUUUCCUGAGUAGAUCUCUGCAAAGGCUCUUUUAAUAGUGAUUUCAAGAUCACGUUUGCAGGACUCUGGUCUAUUCGUUCAGACGUCUACUGUGCACAAUUACAAGGAGACUACAACUGAGGCAUCUCAAAGAGCACUGUCAAGGUGUGUAGGGAGCCGGGUGGGUGGAGGGAGGCUGGGCUCUGACCCUAGAAACCAUGCUUAUGAAUGCUGUUAAUGUUUAAAGCAAGCCUAAGGGCACUGCUGAAGGACAGGGGAACAAAUAGAACUGACCAAGACUGAGGUAUAACAGGAACCCCCAGGCUAUCCACCUGCUCAAGGUAAAGUGUGGUAUUACAUAAGGCAACCUCUGAUUUUGUAAGAGUUCUUCCUAAAGCCAAAGUGUAUGCCUAUUCUAUGUUUCCAGAUUACUUCAUUCUUCUAAAUGAGAACAAGUGUGCAAAAGUUCUUUGAACACUAGAUCAAUGUUUUGUGUUCAUUAUAAAUUAUGGUUAUCGUCCUGCUUGUUAUGAAGACUAAGAAAGUAGAUCUAGUAUUUGGCUCACACAGGUGAAUGGGUGAGAAUUUGUUAAUCCAUCAGUGAAGUCCUUUCAUUUGAAAGAGAGGGCCUUUCUAUUAUCAAAAGCCGUCCUGUGUGGAAAAUCACCAUGAGAGUGCCUGAAACACAGGCACUCUGCAUUGUCCUGUAGACCAAAUCUACAUUGUCCUGUAGUCUGGUCUACAUUGUCCUGUAGACCGAAUGGUAGAGUGAUUCAGAGCUAAUUCUGGGUUAGACUGCACAGGUCUGAAUCUAUUUGCUCACUGUGUAGUGCUUUAGGAAUACAAUUUAACCUCUCCGUGCUUCAGUUUGUUUGUCCCUAAGAUAGAGCUAAUGAUAGAAACCUACUUCACCCAGUUGUGAAAAUUAACUGACUGCAUGUCAAGCACUAACAGUUUCUGGCAUAUAGUAUGCAUAAUGUAAAUUAUGUGCUGAGAAGCGAGAAAGAAUAACUUGGGAAAACGCUGAAUAUCAUCAAUGUCGAAUAGCUAACCAGUAGCUAAGGUCCAAGGUCUCCUCUCUUCCUUCUAUGUGGCACUCUUGUUUCUGGUUCAUCUACUCCCCUUGGGUGUCACCUCCUUGAGUGAAGUACCUGCUGGAGAUGAGAAGAGUGGAACUGGAUCUGCAUGACAGCUUUGAUUAGGAUGGAGCUAAGACUUGGCUAUCUCCCUGUUUUGUGUUUUGGAUGGGUGACAUUUUAAAACUGCCAAUAUUCAAAUCCUGCUAAUUUGCUUUGUACAGUUUAAAAUGUUUGAUAUCUUUUGUUGUUUAAAGUUUGAGAUUGGUUUUGAAUAUACAGUUUUCCUACAUCUUGAAGAAAGUUAUGUUUGUUUACUCUGAAGUGGUCUAUGUUCUGUUUGUUUGUUUUACUAUACUUUGCAAAAAAACAGAUGGCUGGCUUAUGUUCACUGUUGUAGUGCACUACCUAGUAUCACUUGGCCUUCCUGUUGUCAAGAUGUAGGAAGCAGCGUAAGGGAUGUCGGGCCUUCAGACCCCCAAUUGCCAGCUGUGGUCCUAGUUCCAGAUUGCAUGGAAAUAUUUGAUAACAUUCCUGCACUGAGUUAUCAUGGUCUGAAUAUUUAUGUGACGCUCUACGAGUGGUACCAAAAUGUUAGUGAUGGAGUUUUUACUAAUGGCACCUUUUCCUGUUUUUAAAUUCUAGAAUCUUAAUAAAUCCAAAGUGUACAUUUUGGUAGUGAUUUCAUUUAGUUAUUUACUUUAAGGACUCCCUUUUCAAGCAUUAACUCUGCACUAAUUUUGACUUAUGAAAAGAUUCAGCAGUAAGAAUAAAAACUGGGCCAAAGCCCAAAGUAAUAAUCCUUCACAAAUAGGAUGGAGUUUUAAAAAUAUGGGCAUCCUGUGUGUAGCUUUGAAAAUAACCAAACUACUUGGAAUUAAAAAGUUAGGUGAACAUGAAGAUUGUCAUAACCAAAUCCUUGACAGCUUGAUGGAUGAAGAGCAGAUGGGUUUAUGGUGUAUGGGAGGAAGCAUGGAUUUUAGGAGGGACAGUAUCAGAGAGGGAUGGUUAGAAAGUGAGUAAGACAGGUUGCUCUUUGGAAAACAAGGAAAAUCCCUUUAUUAGAACAAGGCAUGAAAUUCUGCCACUAGGUGGCGAUGCCCUAUAACUUUACAACUUAGUGUACAUCACACGAGCACUAUGGAAGAUUUCUCCAUUCUGCGCCCCACCAACUCCCUCCCCUCCUUCAUUUUUCAGGAUGACAACACCUUAGAGGUUUAUGGCCAUCAGGAGAAUUUACUACUAAGCUAUAUACUGAUGUAAUGAAAUCUAAUAUAUGUUGUGCAAUGAAUUAUGAGAUGUUAUUUAGUUUCAGGAUUUUAUUACUUCAAUCAGUUAUGACCAUAUUUCCUUUUAUAUGAUUGCUCACUCUUUAAACAUACCAGAUGACUGUAUAAGGAACACCUAAUAAAGUCUAUAGAUGUUAAAAUAUUUUAAAUGUUUUAAUUUAUAUGCCAUAAUUUGUUUACAUUCUGGUUAUACUGGCGUUCAUAUUAAAAGCCAUAACAUGUUAGAAUCUGAGAUCUCAGGUCGGAUAGUGCCUCUAAGUUAUAUUUUGCUAAGAAAUUUUAUUGUAUUAGCAAUUGAGCAAGAAAGAAGAACUGAAUCAUUAUACGGUGGUUAAUUUUUAGCAUAGAUGUCAGAAAGCCUGUUAAUAUUCCAGAGGCUUAUGAUAAACUAUUUAAAUUGUCAUUCUGGAUUCUGAUUAUAUCUCCUACAAAGAAAGAGUGUAUUAUUUAUUGAACUUUUUGUUUGAAUACAUGUGCCUAUUUUUGCAUAAAUGUAAAAAUGUAAUUUUAAAAUAAACCCCUGAAAACUUCUGGUAACAUUAUCCAGUUGAAUAAUUGUUCUGUUAGUAUUCUAAAUAUUUUAAGAAAAUUGUAUACAUAUCUGUGACAAUUGUAUUCACAAGCCAAACCAAAAAAAGAUAAUUAUUUGUUUUACAAAGGAGUCAGCUUACAAUUUUUCUCUUAUGCAUGCAUUUAAAAUGUGGUUUGCCAUUAAACUGGAAACACUGAUCUGAGGCCAAUGAUUUAGGCAAGUCAUUAGUCUAAAGAUUGGCUUCCUCAGCUAGAAAAUGAAGGGCUUUGACUAAAAAGUCUUUUUCAUUUCAGUACCAAAACAUUCUGGGUCUGUGAUUUAACUUACGCUCUUUAUUGUUGGGAUGAACUAAUACUGAUGGAAUACUAGCUUUGUACUAGGCACUGUUCGUAUGUUGUCUCUUUUAAUCCUCCCUGCAACCUUCUGGCAUGGCUAUUAUAAUGCCCAUUGUAUGGAAGAAGAAAUUAGGCUUCGAAAGUCCAUUUUAUGCUUGUUCAUUACAUAAUUUUCUGGAUUUUUUAAAUUGAUGUAUGUGUUUAUGUUCCAGGCUAGGCAGAAGCUAGGAAGAAUAUAGCAGCCUCGUCACUGUUGAAAUCUGGGGCUAGAUAAUUCUUUGUUGUGGGGGCCUCCUCUGUGUGUUACAGGAUAUUUAGCAGCAUCCUGGCUUCUACACGAUAGGUACCAGUAGCGCCUCCUGCCUCCAACUGUAACAACCAAAAAUGUUUUGAGACAUUGUCUGGAAAUGUUCCCCUGGGGGAGCAGAAUUGCUCCCAGCUAAAAACCACCAGUGUAGGGAAUACAGAGAAAAACCAAGAUGGUAGAGACAGGUAUGUAAUCAGAUGCAUGAAUAUGUAAACAUAGAUGUACAUACUGUGUGAAUUGUCCACAAAAAAUAUGUACUGGGUACUAUGGAAACAUGGAGAAGGUAAACUAACUAAACCUGGAUGGGAAUCAGGGCCUCUGAUAAUGUGGCUGAUUCCAGAACAGUAAGCAAAGUUAGCUAAGCCAAGAAGAUGGUGAAGGGCUUUCCAAGCAGAAGAAAAUGAGCAGGAAAUGCUCAAAGGCAUGGAAGUGCAGGAUGUAUGUCUAGGGAAGGACAGGCAGUUUUGCACUGAUGGAGUGGCAAAUAUCAGCUGGAGAGACAUGGGAGAUGCAACCUGAAAGGUGUACGCCAUAUUGAGAUGCCUGGACUUCAUCCUGUGAGCAGCAGAGUGUUUGGAUAGAUUCUGGGAAGUGAAAAUGUUGGGGCAAAGGGGAUGAAUAUUUGAAGUUUUUCAAUACUGGACUUCCAAUUUGCUUUUCAAAAGUUUAUAAUAAUUUAUAUUCAUCUAAGCAAUCACGAGGGUCCCUUUAUUGCAUUCCUGCCUGCACUGAGUGCUCUCAUUAAAAGCAAUCUUUGUGAAUUUGGUUGGAGAGUUUCUUGUUUAAACUUGCAUUUCUUGGAUUGAGUAGCUAGACGUUUUUCCAUAUGCUAUUAUCAAGUUGUUAUUUCUCUUUCAUCAAUCUUGUUCAUGUCCUUCACCUAUGGGCCUAUUUUUAAUUUUCACAGCCUUUUCCUUAUUUGUUUAGUUUUCCUCUUAGCUCCCUCUUCCCCCUUCCCAAACCUGGGUCAGUUCUUAUCUAUUUGUAUGAGACCUUUAUAUGUUUAGAUAGUACCCCUUUUACUUACAUUUGCUGAAAUGAUAUUUUUAUUUCAUCGUUUGAAUUUUAUUUGAGGUUUUUUGGAUGCCUUUUCAACUUUGUUCAUGGUGGGUUUUGUCAAAUGGAAGUUUCUGAUUUUUAUGUAGUACAAACUCUCAGUCCUCUCCUCUGUGGUUUUGCCUCUGAGGUCAUGCUUUGAGAAGUCCUCUCUUUACUCCAAGUUUUCAUAAAUAUCCAGCAAGGUUUCAUCCAGUACUUUUAGGUAUAAGAAACAAAACCAUAAAUCUUCAAUCCCUCUGGAGUUUAGGGAUAUGGUGUGAGCAGAGUAUAUUUUUGAGAGAUACUAAGAAGUCCAGUUGGCCUGACUGGAUAUCAGUUAGAUGUGUAAGAGGUGGAUGUGAGGAAGGGUAAAAGAGAGAGGUCCGGAGGGGCUCCACAAACACGGGUCUGUUGAGGGUGAUGCAGCCUGGUAAUCAGCCCCUUCUGUGGCUUCUCAUUCUGUGAGACGUUGGCUGUGCUGCAUAUUCUAAAUCUACUCUUGUCCCUUCUGGAUUCAGCUCUGUACCCCAGGAGAGAUAAAUUGAUGUAAAGACUGCACAAAUAGACACUUUUGCCUUCUGGCUUCUGGCUUGGGCUUGGCCAGCCAGUGUGGGGAGGGUGGCCACCUGCAAGAGAGGGCAGAUGAGAGAGACAGAGAUAUUUAUUCCCCAGCCCACGUUCCUCUGAAGAAAGCUACAGCUCCUGUCAGGCAGCCCCUCUCAAGAUUCCUACAGCUCUCCCUUCCAUCCCUCCCCACUCUGCUAUCUCUAUCAAAGUUGGUUCUCCUUGACCUUGCCUGCCGUUUGUUAAUUGUCCCUUCAUUGGACAUUCUUUGGUUUGCCUGAUUGGGUGUGCCACACUUUCCUGCCAGGACUCUGACUCACACAGAACUGGGCUGCCCUUGAGAAUGGCUAGGUUGCCCCAUGAGAGCACCAAGUGCUGCUACUUGGAACUGGUUUGUGGUCAGUUCCUGGAAAACCAAAGCUUGCUUCUUUGAGGUAAGCUAACUCAUGCCCCAGAGUCAGACUCCAGGAGACCACACUAGUUCCAGUUGAAGGGAGUGGCCUUCCAAAGCCUGGCUUCUACCACCCCCACCUGUCUGCCUCUACCCAUGAUAGAUCUGCUUCCAAUCAGAGACUUACUCUUCUACACAAUUUAAUGCAGGUAAAUGCCAGUGCUAAAAAGAUGCCAUAUGAUAGAAAACAGAAGGUUUGUCCAUUCUGAAAACAUUGUGUUCUCUUUCCUCCUGUUUUAACUCCCUCUUCCCCAAACACAUUCUGCAAAAUUCUACCUCUAACCUUUUUUCCUUCUAUUCUCAGUCCCCUGCAAUGGCACUUGCAAUCCUCACCAUACUCUGUCUAAAUUCUAGCUUUACUUUAAGACAAAAAUUAAAUUCUGCCUACUGAGAGAAGCUCUUUGUCAACCCCAGGCACUUGACAUUUCUAUUUUCUUUGACUUUGUAAAGCACUUACUACUUCAACCAAUCAUUUACUAUUUAACAAUAAUAAAUACUAUUUACCUAGUGUUCACUGUGGGCCAUUUCAGGUUUCAUUUAUUCCUUGAAAAUUUUUCCAAGGUGAGCACAAUUAUCCUCUUUUCAUAGAGGCUCAGACAUGUUAGGUAACGGGUACAAGAUCACACUUUGCAAGUGAGCAAAUGGAAAGUUAAAUUCUGUCUUCCUUGAAAUUGCUAUGUUGUCUUUUCUUUUUUAUUUAAGGUGUACAGCAUGAUGUUUUGAUACAAAUAUACAUAGUGAAAUGAUUACUACAGGCAAGCAAAUUAAAAUAUCCAUUACCACGAUAGUACUUUGUGUAUGUGUGUCUGGUGAGCACCUAAAAUCUACACUUUCAGCAAAUUUUUAGUGUACAAUAUAAUUAUAGUCACCAUGCUGUACAUGAAAUCUCUAGACCUGUUCAUCUUGUAUAAUUGCAAGUUUGUGUAUCCUUUGACCUACCUCUCCCCAUUUCCUGAUCCUUCCCACUCUGGAAACCACCAUUCUUCUCUGUUUCUAUGUAUUUGACAUGUUUUAGAUUGCACAAAUAAAUAAGAUCAUGCAGUA